rnacentral:lncRNA from 1 species
CGGCCUUUUGGGACAUGGAAAUAUAUGGUAUAAAGUACCUCCUGUCCAAAAAUGAGCUCAUUCCGACUUAAAAUGAGCAAGUUAUGACUAUUUCAAUAUUUAGGCUUUUCCGACGAAAAAUGCUAUAACUGGAGUUCUAUGACUCCAAUGACCAUGAGAUUUAAACUGGAAACUCACGUUAAUAUGUGUAAGAUCUUGCCAAGAUUUGGAAAUUUCUGGAGUUAAACUUGAGGUAGCUAAUUUCUUAAGG